rnacentral:lncRNA from 1 species
AUGUGGCAGAGGCAGGGACGGAGGCCUCGGAAACACACGCGAGGCCGACCGCCGCUCGCCAACCCGCGGCCACACGCAGGCCCAGAGGGAGGGUCUCAGGGUGUCCGUAGCCACCCGGAAGGGCUCUGGAUCACCCCAGAGAAAUCCGAGUCAGAGCAGCGCCGAGGCUUCCCCUCCCACCCUGCAAACUGGCAAGGAUGGCGACGGCCAAUGCGGGAGGGGCGGUCACAAGCCACACACACUCAUACAUUGUUGGUGGAGUUACACUCAUCAUACGCCUCGUAUUCACACUCACAUAUUCUCUCACACUCAUUCUCUCACACACACUCACUCACACACACACGCUUAUUUUCUCACACAUUCACACACAUUCUCUCACACUCACUCUCACACAUGCUUAUUUUCUCACACACUCACACACAUUCUCACACACACACUCACUCACACUCUGUCACACAUGCUUAUUUUCUCACACAUUCACACACAUUCUCACACUCACUCACACUCACACACUCACACAUGCUUAUUUUCUCACACACUCACACACAUUCUCUCACACUCACACUCACACACUCUCACAGACACACCCAGAGCCUAGGGUGGCUCAGCCCUCCAUCUUGGGCCCUUGACCGCAGCCUCUAACCCCACUGGGCCUCCGUGUCCUGCCCUGCCCAAGGUUCUGGGCCUGCUCUGGGUCGGGGGGACGAGGACACGUCCCGAGGGGCACCCCACACGGCUGCAGCUUCUCCCAUCUCGCAGGCACGGCCUCCACACGCCCCGUGUCCAGAGCAGGAGCCGUGGGGUCUCUUAGUCACUGGGGGAAGCCCAGGCCACUCUGGUGCCAUCUCUGGGGCCCCAAGAGAAAGCCACGAGGCUGGCCUGGCACGGCCCAUGAGCUCCCAGUGGUCUCGGGGAGGGAGGGCACUAGAUGCUGGGGGAUGGACAGGCCUCCCUGGCAGCCAUCCAGCACUCCUGUAGGUGGCUGGGAAACGGAGGCCCAGAGAUGGGCUCCCAGGAACGAGGUGCCACGUUCAGGGAAGCUAGCUUGGAGGCCGGAGGCACUAGGGAGCCACCGAGGUUCAUUGAGUGGGAGAGAGGCUGCCUUGGGCUCUCAUGUGCUCUAGGAGGGUCCCGUCACGAGGGAGCCCUGGGGGGGCUGAGGGGAGCCCUUCGGGGAGGGCGAAGGGGGGAGCUCAGAGGGCUCUCCAACAACGGGCUGUCACACGGGGAGAGCCCCAGAGCUGAGAGACAACGGGGGGCUCCUCUGCCUCCUCCCCAGGCACCUGCCCAGGCUCGACAGGGGGCCCUGGCGGAGGGUGGGUGCGAGGCCUGGCCAUGGCCGCAGGAGAAGGUGGGCGGGAGAGGCCGGACAGCAUGACAGGACGGCCCAGGCUCGCGGGCAGGAACGGGGCACCCGGAGGGGCCAAAAGGGCGGUCCUUCCACAGAGGGCAGGAGAGAGGAGCAGAGCCUGGGGCAGGGCAGGGCCAGCGGGAGGCCUGGCCUGAGUGACUCGGCCCGAGCCCAGGAGGAGCCUGGGAAAAGGCCCUGCCAGGGGCCUCAGGGGAGGGGCGGCCCCCAGCAGCAACCAGGAGGGCCUG